rnacentral:rRNA from 1 species
AGGACGAACGCUGGCGGCGUGCUUAACACAUGCAAGUCGAACGGAAAGGCCCUUCGGGGUACUCGAGUGGCGAACGGGUGAGUAACACGUGAGCAAUCUGCCCCUAGCUCUGGGAUAGCUCCGGGAAACCGGGAUUAAUACCAGAUAUUACUACGGCCGACAUCAGCUGUGGUGGAAAGAAUUUCGGCUAGGGAUGAGCUCGCGGCCUAUCAGCUUGUUGGUGGGGUAAAGGCCCACCAAGGCGACGACGGGUAGCCGGCCUGAGAGGGCGACCGGCCACACUGGGACUGAGACACGGCCCAGACUCCUACGGGAGGCAGCAGUGGGGAAUAUUGCGCAAUGGGCGAAAGCCUGACGCAGCGACGCCGCGUGCGGGAUGAAGGCCUUCGGGUUGUAACCGCUUUCAGCAGGGACGAAGCGAAAGUGACGGUACCUGCAGAAGAAGCGCCGGCUAACGUACGCGCCAGCAGCCGC